rnacentral:rRNA from 1 species
GAUGAAAUCUUGACAGAUCCCUUCGGGGUGAAGAUAAGAUGGAUUAGCGGCGGACGGGUGAGUAACACGUGAGUAACCUGCCUUAGACAUUGGGAUAGCCUCGGGAAACCGGGAUUAAUACCAAAUGAAAUCACAUAUGCACAUGCAUAAAUGAUCAAAGCUCCGGCGGUCUAAGAUGGACUCGCGUCCCAUUAGCUAGUUGGUGAGGUAACGGCCCACCAAGGCGACGAUGGGUAGCCGGCCUGAGAGGGUGAACGGCCACAUUGGAACUGAGAAACGGUCCAAACUCCUACGGGAGGCAGCAGUGGGGAAUAUUGCACAAUGGAGGGAACUCUGAUGCAGCGACGCCGCGUGAACGAAGAAGGCUUUCGAGUCGUAAAGUUCUUUUAUGUGGGAAGAUAAUGACGGUACCAUAAGAAAAAGCCCCGGCUAACUACGUGCCAGCAGCCGCGGUAAUACGUAGGGGGCUAGCGUUGUCCGGAAUCACUGGGCGUAAAGGGUUCGCAGGCGGAAAUGCAAGUCAGGUGUAAAAGGCAGUAGCUUAACUACUGUAAGCAUUUGAAACUGCAUAUCUUGAGAAGAGUAGAGGUAAGUGGAAUUUUUAGUGUAGCGGUGAAAUGCGUAGAUAUUAAAAAGAAUACCGGUGGCGAAGGCGACUUACUGGGCUCAUUCUGACGCUGAGGAACGAAAGCGUGGGUAGCAAACAGGAUUAGAUACCCUGGUAGUCCACGCUGUAAACGAUGAGUGCUAGGUAUCGGAAAAAUUCGGUGCCGCAGUUAACACAUUAAGCACUCCGCCUGGGGAGUACGUGCGCAAGCAUG